GCACUGAGUGAACGAGACUCCGUCUGCAAUCCCGGCACCUCGGGAGGCUGAGGUUGGCGGGAUCACUCGCGGUUAGGGGCUGGAGACCUGCCCGGCCAACACAGCGAAACCCCGUCUCCACCAAAACCAGUCAGGCAUGGCGGCGCGUGCCUGCAAUGGCAGGCACUGGGCAGGCUGAGGCAGGAGAAUCAGGCAGGGAGGUUGCAGUGAGCCGAGAUGGCAGCAGUACAGUCCAGCUUCGGCUCCGCAUGAGAGGGAGACCGUGGGGAGAGGGAGACAGAGGGAGAGGGAGGGAGAGCCGGUGGAUAAACUCUUUAAACUAGAUUCUAAGCCUGGUACAGUGGUAUGUGCCUGCAGUCCCAACUCUAUCUACUCUAGGAGGCUGAGGGAGGGAAGGUCAAGCUUUUUUUCUUUCUUGAAGGUUUUUUGUUUUGGUUUGGUUUUUUGGAGAUGAGGUCUCACUCUGUCACCUAGGUUGGUGUGCAGUGGUGCAAUCAUAGCUCACUACUGCCUCGAACUCCUGGGGUCAAAGAGAUCAAGCCAUCCUCCCAUGUAGCUAGGACUAUAGGUGUGCGUUACCAUGCUUGGCUAAUUUUUAAAUUUUUUAGACAUGGGGUAUUGCCAUGUUGCCCAGGAUGCCCUUUAAUUUGAUCAUCCUGCCUUGGUCUCCCGAAGUGCUAGCAUUACAGAUCUGAGCCACCACACCUAGCCAGGAAGGUAGUGUCUGUCUCUCAAGCCUCCCAGCACUUCUGUUUCUAACAGGUAGUAGUUCAUGGGUCAGACAUUCAUAGUGUCCUUUCCUUUUUGUCUUCCACUAUUUCUUUUUCUUUUUUUUUUUGAGCAAGGGCUCUCCCACUUACCUGCAGGCUGAACAGAUUCUUUUCAUAAGCAUCUGCCUG
rnacentral:lncRNA from 1 species